GCUUCUUUUUCCACCGGAGCUUGCUCCACCGGAAAAAGAAGAGUGGCGAACGGGUGAGUAACACGUGGGUAACCUGCCCAUCAGAAGGGGAUAACACUUGGAAACAGGUGCUAAUACCGUAUAACAAUCAAAACCGCAUGGUUUUGAUUUGAAAGGCGCUUUCGGGUGUCGCUUUUGGAUGGACCCGCGGCGUAUUAGCUAGUUGGUGAGGUAACGGCUCACCAAGGCAAUGAUACGUAGCCGAACUGAGAGGUUGAUCGGCCACAUUGGGACUGAGACACGGCCCAAACUCCUACGGGAGGCAGCAGUAGGGAAUCUUCCACAAUGGACGCAAGUCUGAUGGAGCAACGCCGCGUGAGUGAAGAAGGCCUUCGGGUCGUAAAACUCUGUUGUUGGAGAAGAAUGGUCGGCAGAGUAACUGUUGUCGGCGUGACGGUAUCCAACCAGAAAGCCACGGCUAACUACGUGCCAGCAGCCGCGGUAAUACGUAGGUGGCAAGCGUUAUCCGGAUUUAUUGGGCGUAAAGCGAGCGCAGGCGGUUUUUUAAGUCUGAUGUGAAAGCCCUCGGCUUAACCGAGGAAGUGCAUCGGAAACUGGGAAACUUGAGUGCAGAAGAGGACAGUGGAACUCCAUGUGUAGCGGUGAAAUGCGUAGAUAUAUG
rnacentral:rRNA from 1 species